GAUGAACGCUGACAGAAUGCUUAACACAUGCAAGUCAACUUGAAUUUGGGUUUUUAACUUAGGUUUGGGUGGCGGACGGGUGAGUAACGCGUAAAGAACUUGCCUCACAGCUAGGGACAACAUUUGGAAACGAAUGCUAAUACCUAAUAUUAUGAUAAUAGGGCAUCCUAUAAUUAUGAAAGCUAUAAGCGCUGUGAGAGAGCUUUGCGUCCCAUUAGCUAGUUGGAGAGGCAACGGCUCACCAAGGCGAUGAUGGGUAGCCGGCCUGAGAGGGUGAUCGGCCACAAGGGGACUGAGACACGGCCCUUACUCCUACGGGAGGCAGCAGUGGGGAAUAUUGGACAAUGGACCGAGAGUCUGAUCCAGCAAUUCUGUGUGCACGAUGAAGUUUUUCGGAAUGUAAAGUGCUUUCAGUUGGGAAGAAACAAAUGACGGUACCAACAGAAGAAGUGACGGCUAAAUACGUG
rnacentral:rRNA from 1 species